rnacentral:SRP_RNA from 1 species
GCCGGGCGCACUGGCGCGCGCCUGCAGUCCCAGCUACUCGGGAGGCUGAGGCAGGAGAAUGGCUUGAGCCCAGGAGUUCUGGGCUGUAGUGCGCGAUGCCGAUCCGGUGUCCGCACUAAGUUCGGCAUCAAUAUGGUGACCUCCUGGGAGCAGGGGACCACCAGGUUGCCUAAGGAGGGGUGAACCGGCCCAGGUCGGAAAGGAUCAGGUCAAAACUCCCGUGCUGAAUACAUUAUAGUUAGACAUGAAACUGCAAAAGAAUGAAGACGGAAAAGAAAUGGCUCCUCCAAUGUUGCUCCACCUCCUU